AUUCCCACCCCGUCAAAGUAUUUAAAAUGCGGAAUGGUCUCGAUAACUUAUUGCAUGCUAUUAUUCGUCAUGUUCCUAUUAGUCUCGGAGGCACUUAGGACUACUAAUCCUAAAAGGAGGGAUAAUAGGCUUCUUUAGGGUUUCAAAGGUAAAAUUCUAAGGCGACAUACAAAACACUUUCUGCUUAUUUGGGGAGACAUAUAAACAUAUAAGGCUCAGCUAUACCCCCUUGAGCAGAAAAGCAUAUAAUAACAUGUCUUGCACAUACUGGUUAGGUCUGAUUAAAAUAAAAGACGAGGGAAUUUAAGUGUUGAGGCAAACUGGUUUAUUACAUAAUUCAAAAAAGAAACACAAAUCAGGCCUACAUGCUGGUGGUAAUAAUUAACAGAAGCAGAUUUAUUUAUUUUUUAAUAAUUACUCUAAGACUUGCCUAAGUGUUAAGACGGAGUCUUAUAGACAUGACAUCUACUGAAUUUAGAAGGUGAUAAGACAGUAAAAUUCAAAAUGAAUUAUUUGGGAUCCUAUAGGCAUGGUUGCUAAACUUUGUUUAAGUAAAGGACUUGGAUUAUCAAAAGAGAUGAAAAAUUAACAAAUUGAUUACGCGUUCUUCUGGUGAUAGUACAUAUUAUUAAUGAUUUUAUAGCUAACAUUGAGCAAAGCGAAUCAGGUUCAUUAAAAACUCCUAAGGCAUGUUUUCUAACCUUGCUGACUUAUAGACGUAGUAUCUGAAUGUAAAAGCUUGUUUUAAACCUCACAAACAUUUUAUCUAAUGCAGAGCUUGUUUUAAAACCUAUAGGCAUGGUAUCUAAUGCAGAAAUAGUUUUUAAACCCAUAGACAUGGUAUCUAAAAUGCAGAACUUAUUUUAAAAAAACCUGUAGACAUGGUAUCUAAAAUGCAGAAAUUAUUUUUUCUUUAACACCUAUAGAAAUGGUAUCUAAAAUGCAGAACUUAUUUUUAAACCUAUAGACAUGGUAUCUAAAAUGCAGAACUUGUUUUGAAACUAUAGACAUGGUAUCCAAAAUGCAAUUUGAAUGAAAACAUUCCUGCAGGCAUGAUUUCUAGAUGAAGUUUGAAUAUGCAGAAUUAUAACAGUCUUAUAUGCAUGGUCUCUAUAUAUGGUUGAAUAUGCAGAAUUUAGAGAAGCCCUAUAUACAUUAUUUCUUGGUGAAUUUUGAAUAUGUAGGAAUUGAAACACCCUAUAGGCGUGAUUAUUACCCUUGCAUGCAUAGUUGCCCACCCCUUUCAAUGGCCAACCCCAAAUGUUUAUUACAACUUUUUACAAACUAGAAAUAAAUUACAUCAGAAAAGUACAAAGAGAAGUACAACCAGAGGAAGCCUGAUUUUGACUUCCUAUCGUAAUUAUGAGAUAGACCAACUUAUAGACCAUUGAUCCAAAUCCUUUAUCCAAUUAGAGUGUGUCAGAGUUCCCUAAGAGCCUCUAUGGGACUCUGGGCAGUGCUCACACCCAAAUUGUAUUAUCAGAAGAGGGAUAAGUGCAUUGUGCAAGGGCCAACCCUCAAGUGUCCAAGUUUAGAGGGAGCUCAAUAGGUCCCAAGGCAAGGCUCACGGGAGGGGGGAAGAAUUUAAUGUCUAAGAGAGAGUGCAAGUGAAGAAACAGAGUUUUAAAAAACUAAGAAAGUAAAGAGGAGGGGAAGAGGUGCUAGGAAACAAUUAGAGGAUUGAGGAUUUCACACAAAGUGGUUUAGGGAUUGGGGAUUGCAAAGAGCCCAUGUACUUAGAAUUAGAUAAUUUUGCACAUGCACAACAAUAAUAAGUGUUAUUAUGCUUACAAAAUCAAAAAGAAUACACAACAUAUGAUGGUGACAUAGAGGUUAUGAUUCCAAGGGAAUCAAGUUUGAGUCAUAGACAAUAAUACUUAAUACUGUCAUGUCUCAAACAAACCAGUAGCAUCAAACACAUUUAGGAUGCACAGUAGAUGCAGGACAGGCAGAAGGAAAUUACAACAUGCUAAAAUAAGUACUAAACUAAACACAAGCAAUAGGCAGACAAGAGGGCAAAAGUAUUAAGUAAACACAUUGUUGUGAUUGCUAAAAUUUUUGAUCAAAAACAUACUAGUUUCAAAGAGCAAGAUACAGUAAAAGCAAGUAGCAGGACUUGAAAGCAAGCCACAGUACAAGUAACAAGAGAGACUACUUUUUUGAGUGUGAGUUAAAAAACCAAGAGUGUUCGUUUCUGUGUUAAUGAAAGAGCGGGGUAUUCAUAGUUUGAAAAAUAGGUAGAAAACAAGGCAAUAAUCAUAGUUUAGCAGUAAUUAUGGAACUAUGUACCAAUUAAAACCAAUCUGUAUAAGGACUUCCUUUAAUUAAUGAGUUUAAACUUAAAUGGUAAUGGAAAGAGAACAUUUAAGGAAAGAGGUCAAGUAAACAUCUUGUGCAAAAUAGACAAUUAAGGGUAAAUACAUAGGGGUUUACUUAAGGGAAUGAUCUUUGAAAUACUCGAUUAACCAAAUAAUGUAAGAAAACAAAGUAAAGCUGUAGAAUAUAGAGACACUUAGUUCAUAGUAAAUCAAGGAGUCAGGGAUUCGAAAUUACUAAUUCGUGAAUAAACAAUUAAACCAAGUUAGAAAUAGGAUAAUUGAAGGUCUACGGAAAGUUUUCCAAAUCAACCCAAGAAACGGGGAAAUCAGUAAGGUGAAACAAGGAAAGAGUCAAUCACUUAACACAUGAAAGCAACUAAAAUUACACAAGGAGCCUGAAAAUCUGUCCCAAAAUUGAAGGUCAGUUCAGAGGGAAAUUCACUAUAUAAGAGAAUUCAUAAGUAUUAAGCAUGAAAGGCUGAAGUUAGGACAAAGAGAAGCAUCAUGCAAUCACAAAGUAAGUAAGUAGUGGACUAUCGACACAUAGUAGUCACAUAGGUCAGUCUUAGUAACCCAGUAGUAAGGAAAAGAGAGUAUCAAAUAGCAUGCAAAGGGGUCAAGUAGAAAGACCUUUUUGAAAAUAUAGUCGAGUUCCAAUGAUAGCAGGAAAUCAAAAUCACAUGAAGCAACCAAAGUUGAAAAAAAGAUUUCGAAACUCAGUCGAGCAAUAGAUGAAACUACUUCAGAAACUCGAAUAGGUCCAAAUAAAUUAGGGUCUUGAAACCCAUCGAAUUCAGAGCAUGACGAACAAGUAAGUCACAUAGCAAAUACUCUCAGAACUCGAAUGAACUUGAAGUUUUAGGGUUCUUAUUAUCAAUUGAGUCAUAUAGAUGAAAAACAAGUAAAUCAACCAAAAAAACACCAACAAAGUAAAAUUCGAAAUCCUCAAGAAGGAACAUGCAUACUCCAGUAGAAGAACAACAGAAAGAAAUACAGUUGAAUAUGUUAAAGAUCAUAAAAGCUUCAAAAUAAUUUAACAAAAUCCUAAAUCGGAAAAAUAAAGGUUCUGAAGGUAAAAUUAUUAAAGAAAUUCAAGAAAACAUUUAAAGGCUUAGGGAAAACACAUAUCUAAACAGAUCUAAAAGAAUUGGAAGAACCUUGAAGGUUAGGGUUUCAGAAGAACUCAGAUGGUAGGAAAUGCUUGGAAAGUCAAUGAUCUAAGUAGGAGAAGUCAAGAUCAUGCUUGAAUAGCCAUGGUUGGCUGGAGUAAGGCCAAGGAUGACUGGAGAAAGCUAUAAAAACUAAGAUCGACCAAGGUUUGAGCCAAGCUUCUUCAAGGUCAGUUCUUGAAACCAUAAUAAUCGGGCAUGUAGGAGUCAUAGGAGGCAGAUACAUGACUUUAAUGGCUUUGGAAGCCAUUGAUUCAGGCGAUUUUAGGGUGGCGGAAGAAGGCACCGUCUAGGUUUGAGAGAGAGUUUGGGAGAAGGGGGGAUUCAAGGGCAG
rnacentral:lncRNA from 1 species